rnacentral:rRNA from 1 species
GACGAACGCUGGCGGCGUGCCUAAUACAUGCAAGUCGAACGCAGUGGGGACGGGUGAGUAACACGUGGGUAACCUCCCAUCAGAGGGGAUAACACUUGGAAACAGGUGCUAAACCGAUACUGAUGGAUGGACCCGCGGUGCAUUAGCGCGUUGGUGAUGUAACGGCUCACCAAGGCCACGACGCAGAGCCGACCAGCGAGGGUGAUCGGCCACACCGGGACUGAGACACGGCCCAGACUCCUACGGGAGGCAGCAGUAGGGAAUCUGCUGCAAUGGACCAAAUUCUGACCGAGCAACCCCGGGUGAGUGAAGAAGGUUUUCAGAUCGUAAAACUCUGUUGUUAGGGAAGCGGUAUCUAACCAGAAAGCCACGGCUAACUACGUGCCAGCAGCCGCGGUAAUUC